GACGAACGCUGGCGGCGUGCUUAACACAUGCAAGUCGAACGAAGAGCGAUGGAAGCUUGCUUCUAUCAAUCUUAGUGGCGAACGGGUGAGUAACGCGUAAUCAACCUGCCCUUCAGAGGGGGACAACAGUUGGAAACGACUGCUAAUACCGCAUACGAUCUAAUCUCGGCAUCGAGGAUAGAUGAAAGGUGGCCUCUACAUGUAAGCUAUCACUGAAGGAGGGGAGUGCGUCUGAUUAGCUAGUUGGAGGGGUAACGGCCCACCAAGGCGAUGAUCAGUGGCCGGUCUGAGAGGAUGAACGGCCACAUUGGGACUGAGACACGGCCCAGACUCCUACGGGAGGCAGCAGUGGGGAAUCUUCCGCAAUGGACGAAAGUCUGACGGAGCAACGCCGCGUGAGUGAUGACGGCCUUCGGGUUGUAAAGCUCUGUUAAUCGGGACGAAAGGCCUUCUUGCGAAUAGUGAGAAGGAUUGACGGUACCGGAAGAGAAAGCCACGGCUAACUACGUG
rnacentral:rRNA from 1 species